rnacentral:misc_RNA from 1 species
ACUGGGGUCUGAUUUAAUGCCACUGCUUUUCUUUGAUGUCCCCAUAUUGAGGAGCCCGAUAGUCCCGCCUUCUUAGGUUCA